UGCCUCAGUAACGGCGAGUGAAGCGGCAACAGCUCAAAUUUGAAAUCUGGCCCCUUCGGGGUCCGAGUUGUAAUUUGUAGAGGAUGUUUCGGGUGCGGCGCCGAUCUAAGUCCCUUGGAACAGGGCGUCACAGAGGGUGAGAAUCCCGUACGUGAUUGGCGACCAAUCCCAUGUGAAACCCCUUCGACGAGUCGAGUUGUUUGGGAAUGCAGCUCAAAAUGGGUGGUAAAUUUCAUCUAAAGCUAAAUACCGGCCAGAGACCGAUAGCGCACAAGUAGAGUGAUCGAAAGAUGAAAAGCACUUUGGAAAGAGAGUCAAAAAGUACGUGAAAUUGUUGAAAGGGAAGCGCUUGCGACCAGACCUGUCCGCGGGCGAUCAACCUCCGUUCUCGGGGGUGCACUUGUUCGCGAUCAGGCCAGCAUCGGUUUGGGCGGCGGGAUAAAGGCCUUGGGAACGUAGCUUCCUUCGGGAAGUGUUAUAGCCCUCGGUGCAAUGCCGCCAGCCCGGACCGAGGACCGCGCUUCGGCUAGGAUGCUGGCGUAAUGGUCGUAAGCGACCCGUCUUGAAACACGGACCAAGGAGUCUAACAUCUAUGCGAGUGUUUGGGUGUCAAACCCAUACGCGUAAUGAAAGUGAACGGAGGUGAGAACCCUUAAGGGCGCAUCAUCGACCGAUCCAGAUGUCUUCGGAUGGAUUUGAGUACGAGCAUAGCUGUUGGGACCCGAAAGGCAAGCCUAACCCCCCUUUCAUUUAGAUAGAAUUCAUGCUAACAUAUCUUCCAGAUGGUGAACUAUGCCUGAAUAGGGUGAAGCCAGAGGAAACUCUGGUGGAGCUCGCAGCGGUUCUGACGUGCAAAUCGAUCGUCAAAUUUGGGUAUAGGGGCGCGCUUUCGCCCCUCACAGCCUGUUACCAGGCCCUAGUCCUUCGGGGCGAGGUCUACGGUCUGCGGGGAUGUUCACCCAGCGUGGACUGCCCGCACCCGCCCUUUCGGGACCGGGUCACAGAUCAAGCGUAGGUCGGCGGUCCUGAUUUUCGGGAUACGCUUUAGAUAUGAUCGGGCUGCGGCUGGUGAAGCCGCGGAGCACCGGAAAGACUAAUCGAACC
rnacentral:rRNA from 1 species